AAAGGGGCGGGGCGCGCCCAAAGUCUGGCGGAAGAGCGUUACCCUGGCAACCCUCCCGCGGAGGCCGAGAGAGGCCACCGGCCCUUUGUUGAUCUGCGAGAAAUCAAACUACGAACACGACAAGCAUUAGCCUGCAGCUCGAGGAGACAAGGAAUAAAUCCAACUUGAUCAUAACAUCCAACUCCUGAACUGACAGCCACAAGUGGCACCUGAACAGGGACUUGAACAAAGAAGGUCUGCUGGAGCAGAAAAAGUGAAACUGACCAGAUGAAUGAGAAACCCUGGGAUGAGUCUGCCUGCAGAGGAUAUAAGGAGAUGGAUAAACCGUGUGAGUGCCCUCAAGUUGUGUGCGACCAUGGAAUGGGAGACUGGAGGGAUACAUGGAUCCCAACUACAGGCCCAGCUCCUCCAGUAUGAGCCAUGAGCCAGUUGAAUCUGAAUGUGAAGAUGGAAUGAAGACCGACGAGAGUCACACUGACGUCAACCCUCAUAACAUGGGGUCAGAUCAAGAAAACCACACCAGAAGCUGAGAAACUGGUGUAGUGCCAGGGUCAGGCAAAAACCCCUGACUCCAUGUUUAUGGCCAUGCUAGCUGUAAUAUCCUGUGCAGUAUGAUUUUUCUGUGCAGAAGCAAAAACAUAUUGGGCAUAUUUUCCUAACCCACCGGUAGUGUGAUCAUACUCUGAAGCAGCACUCCUCCUGAGAUAUAUCAUGAUCAAGGAGCAUCAGUACCAGGACCUCUAACUCCCCCUGACACAGAGCAAUUAGACUCUCAUAACAAUGGUAUCAAUUAUACCACUCCAUUGGCUGUAAAAUCAACUGGAACACCAACCAGCAAUUGAGAGCUGAACAGCCUGCAAUUACCUUUAUUCAAUUAAAUCAAAAGCAGAAAGGGGGAGAUGUUGGAGGCUGAAAGAAUGAGGGUCAUGACCAACUCAGUAUACCACUGGAGGCUAUGUGAGCAAACAGCAAACUGUUCUCA
rnacentral:lncRNA from 1 species